AAGUCGUAACAAGGUUUCCGUAGGUGAACCUGCGGAAGGAUCAUUAUUGAAUAAACUUGGUUCGGGCUGUUGCUGGCUUCUAGGAGCAUGUGCACGCUCAGCACCAUCUUUAACCACCUGUGCACCUUGUGUAGACCUAGUGUUCACUGUUGAGGGUUGCUGCAGCUAUCCUUAAAGUGUGUGUCAGGUCUAUGUCUUUAUUAUACAUCUUAUGAAUGUCUAGAAUGCCUUGUGUAAUGACUAGGACUUUGUUCCUGUACAUUUUAUACAACUUUCAACAACGGAUCUCUUGGCUCUC
rnacentral:misc_RNA from 1 species